AGUGAACGCUGGCGGCAGGCCUAAUACAUGCAAGUCGAACGGCAGCACAGUAAGCUCUCGCCCUUACGGGUAGCGAGUGGCGGACGGGUGAGAAGUACAUCGGAAUCUUCUAUUUCUUGGGUGACAACGUAGGACAACAUACGCUAAUACCUCAUAUGACUUACGGGAUAAUGCAAGAGUUCUUGGGAGCUUGCGCGUCACAUUGAGCCGAUGCCGGAUUAGCUAGUUGGCGUGGUAAAGGCCCACCUAGGCGACGAUCCGUAGCUGGUCUGAGAGGAUGAUCAGGCCAAAUGGAACUGAGAAACGGUCCAGACUCCUAAGGGGAGCAACAGUGGGGAAAAUUGGACAAUGGGCGGAAGCCUGAUCCAGCCAAACCGCGUGGGUGAAGAAGGCCUUCGGGUUGUAAAACCCUUUUGUUGGGAAAGAAAAACAGCAGGUUAAAACCCCGCUGUUCUGACGGUACCCAAAGAAUAAGCACCGGCUAACUUCGUG
rnacentral:rRNA from 1 species